rnacentral:rRNA from 1 species
UACGAAGGGUGCAAGCGUUAAUCGGAAUUACUGGGCGUAAAGCGUGCGCAGGCGGUUGGUUAAGUUGGAUGUGAAAGCCCCGGGCUCAACCUGGGAAUUGCAUUCAAAACUGGCCAACUAGAGUAUGUGAGAGGGGGGUAGAAUUCCAAGUGUAGCGGUGAAAUGCGUAGAGAUUUGGAGGAAUACCAGUGGCGAAGGCGGCCCCCUGGCACAACACUGACGCUCAGGUGCGAAAGCGUGGGGAGCAAACAGG